rnacentral:snoRNA from 1 species
ACCUAUUUGUGUUACCUGUAUGUUUUAAAACAAGCAUAAAUCAUUAAUAAAAAUCAAGAAAAACUGCACUGGAUCCCAAAGACCAGGGUGGAUCUCUUUCUUAAUGUCCAGUGUCCUUUGUCUUAAGAUUUAAUGCAAUAUAA